UCCAACCCUCCUCCUUUUACCCCCAAGCUUUUCUCAAUGUGAUCUCUGCAACAGAUUGUGAUGGAACUAUGGAAGGAUUCUGCAUCCUCAUGUUGGUGGGUUAUGGCAAUGGUUGCUACUGUUUGCUAUGUAUGAUUUGAAUUUAAUAGAUGCUCAUGUUUCUCCUGUCUCUUUCUCUUUUUUUUUUUUUUUUUCUCUCAAUAAAAAUGAACCAUUUUAUCGAAUUUCUACUGGGCUUGAAGGUGCAUAUGCAGUAGUGGUAGUACUAUUAAAGCAGGGGUUCAAGCAAACAUUUACUUGAACCCAUUGGAGCCCAAAUGGCCCAAAGUCUGUAACAAAAGUUAAAAGGUGAAGACAAUUGCACCCUCUGCCUUUUCCUGAUACUUAGAUUCUCAAAGCAUCACACUUUCCGGAAUGAGAACUUUAAAAGAGUGUUAAAGUUUGAAGGGGACUGAUGAUUGUAGGAGGGCCAUGCGGUUGGGGGGUGCGGAGGCACUACUGGGCAAUUGUGUGCUCACUUUCCUCCUGUUUUUCCAAGUCUUUCUCCCUAGGACUUGCAAUCCUUUCUCUGGUCUGAGUUGGAUGAAAACAAGACCAAGGCUAACAGUGGCGGCAGACCCCCAAGCUGAUGAAAAAGAUAUUAACGGAUAAGAAUGGUCAUUUUGUAAAGCCACGAAUGGAACACCCUCUGCUUGUUCUUCUACAGCUGGGAGUCUCAACCUUGGAAGGAGGGAAAGGGGCCAUUCGCAGAAGGCUGAUAACAACAGCUUUUCACCUUGACAAGCUAAAGGUGCUUCCGCUGCUCCACAUGCGCGCACCAAAUCUUCAACUCUACUUUAGGUAUCCAUGCUAUUACAUGAAGUAUUGAGACUUCGACUGCUCUCUUUCGGCAUACUAGCAAGAAAACUAGCAUGGGAAGGAUGUCGAUCCCUGCUGGGGCAGACCUUCUCUUACCUACAUUGUUCGACUAGUUAUAAAACCAGAGACAUUUGCUAAAGGAGUUUCCAAAGGCAUCAAAGAAUCAAAUCGCCUUCUAUUUAUUUGGUUGGGGUACCAGAUUUUGUCUAGGCCAAAACUUCGCAAUGAUAGAGGCAAAGAUGGCACUAGCUAUUUCUGGUUCGAGCUCUCUCUUUCUUCAGCCUCAACAUGGUACUCCCAUUUUUUGCACCAGAGCUUAACUUCCCUCCGUGGCAAGGAAUGACAAUAAAUUUUAUCUAUGUGUAGUUUAGUAAGUAUAUUUAGAGAGUAUGGAAAAAAGCCUGUUUGGGGGAGAAUGUUUAAUUUGGCUUCCCACAAGGUGUAAUUUAGUUAGAGCAAGCAUAGUUUUGUGUACUAUAUAUAAGAAAACACAAACAUGUGUAACAUUAGACAUUUUGUUGAGAUAUUUUGUCUUUAAUGCUUAUAAAAAGUUUGGG